UACGUAGGGGGCGAGCGUUGUCCGGAGUUACUGGGCGUAAAGCGCACGCAGGCGGUCUGCUAAGUUUGGAGUGACAGUUGGUGGCUUAACUGCCAAAGUGCUUCGAAAACUGACAGACUUGAGGGCUUCAGAGGGACACGGAAUUCCGGGUGGAGUGGUGAAAUGCGUAGAGAUCCGGAGGAACACCAAAGGCGAAGGCAGUGUCCUGGGGAGUACCUGACUCUCAGGUGCGAAAGCCAGGGGAGCGAACGGG
rnacentral:rRNA from 1 species